GGCAGGGCUGUGUCCACCAUGGCCUGGACUCCUGUCCUCCUCUUCAUCCUUUCUCACUGCACAGGUUCCUUUGCCCAGCCUGUGCUGACCCAGCCGCCCUCCCUCUCGGCAUCUCCUGGAGAAACAGUCAAACUCGGCUGUGCCCUGAGCAGUGACGUCAAUGUCGGUGGCUACAAUAUGCACUGGUACCAGCAGAAGCCAGGGAGCCCUCCCCGGUGGUUCCUGUACUACUUCUCAGACUCCGACAAGUAGUUGGGGCCUGGGGUCCCCAGUCGAGUCUCUGGGUCCAAAGAUAAGUCGAAGAACACAGCGUUUCUGCACAUCUCUGGGCUCCAGGCUGAAGACGAGGCCAUGUAUUUCUGUCACAUUGGGCACAGUAGU